ACGGGGGGGGCAAGCGUUGUUCGGAAUUACUGGGCGUAAAGGGCUCGUAGGUGGCCAACUAAGUCAGACGUGAAAUCCCUCGGCUUAACCGGGGAACUGCGUCUGAUACUGGAUGGCUAGAGAUUGGGAGAGGGAUGCGGAAUUCCAGGUGUAGCGGUGAAAUGCGUAGAUAUCUGGAGGAACACCGGUGGCGAAAGCGGCUCACUGGACCUGAUCUGACACUGAGGUGCGAAGGCUAGGGUAGCAAACGGGA
rnacentral:rRNA from 1 species